rnacentral:rRNA from 1 species
GACGAAGGGGGCUAGCGUUGUUCGGAAUUACUGGGCGUAAAGCGCGCGUAGGUGGUUCGUUAAGUUGGAUGUGAAAUCCCCGGGCUCAACCUGGGAACUGCAUCCAAAACUGGCGAGCUAGAGUAUGGUAGAGGGUGGUGGAAUUUCCUGUGUAGCGGUGAAAUGCGUAGAUAUAGGAAGGAACACCAGUGGCGAAGGCGACCACCUGGACUGAUACUGACACUGAGGUGCGAAAGCGUGGGGAGCAAACAGG